UGAUGAUGAUGAUGAUGAUGAUGAUGAUGAUGAUGAUGAUGAUGAUGAUGCGUCAUCACUAGCAGCAACAGCUGAAACAAAGGCAACAGCAGUAGCAAUUAACCGCUUUAACUGUAUUGUCAUCAUCAUCAUCAUCAUCAUCAUCAUCAUCAUCGUCG
rnacentral:pre_miRNA from 1 species